UAAACUAAAACUUUCAACAACGGAUCUCUUGGUUCUGGCAUCGAUGAAGAACGCAGCGAAAUGCGAUAAGUAAUGUGAAUUGCAGAAUUCAGUGAAUCAUCGAAUCUUUGAACGCACAUUGCGCCCCUUGGUAUUCCGAGGGGCAUGCCUGUUCGAGCGUCAUUU
rnacentral:rRNA from 1 species